rnacentral:lncRNA from 1 species
GAGAAGUGUUAGUUUCCUAUGAAUGUGUCUUUUCUCGCUUGCUCCCCUUUCUUUUUUUGUGGUCCUGGGGCUAAAUCCAGGAACUUGCAGGAGGAAGGCAAGUGCUCUGCUGCUGAGCCCCAGCCCCCACUUGAGUGUACCUAUUUUUUAUUUCUAGGCAAAGGAAACCAACAGCAAGCAGAAAGAAUUCGAGGAAAAUGCCAGGAAAGUCCGGCAAGCUAUGGAGCAGCUGGCUGCCUUAGAGUGAACCUGCCGUGGUCACCUGGUCCCAGGCCUGUCCCCCGUGUUACUGCCUGUCUGUGGAACUCCUACGGGUACCUUAGGAAAGGAGAAUGCUUUCCUAAGGUACUUGUAGGAAUUUUGAAAUUGGACGUUUAGACUGAGUUUUGUUUCUCCUGAAGUGGCAUCAGCGCCUCUCUGCUUGUGUGGCGGUGCUGCCUGUGACAGUAGCUGUGCCUCUCCCUCAUAGGUGGCUCUUGCUCUGUUGAGCCCUGGCUUGGAGGCAAGAGUGGGGAGGAAGAGGGCAGAGUCCCUGUGACUAGACCUGAUGGGCAGCGGAGGAGGGCAGAUGCCUGCACAGGAGUUGCUGAUCUUGGUGUUCCCAAUAACCUGUGAGCCGCUGGCUGCUCGUAACUCUCCUGUCUUUCUGAUGUGACUCCUCCUACAGGGUGAUGGAAUAAAUUAAUUUUUA